rfam:Candidatus Atelocyanobacterium thalassa isolate ALOHA, complete genome.
UAGUGUGUAAGGAGUAAGAGUGACUUGAAAAGGUCCCUGAAGUCGAAACAUGGCAAGACGUUCUGGACCUUUUCUUUU